rnacentral:rRNA from 1 species
UUCGGGAGCGCAUGGACAGGUGCUGCAUGGCUGUCGUCAGCUCGUGUCGUGAGACGUUGGGUUAAGUUCCGCAACGAGCGCAACCCUCGUCGUUAGUUGCUAACAGUUCGGCUGAGAACUCUAACGAGACUGCCUGGGUAACCAGGAGGAAGGUGAGGACGACGUCAAGUCAUCAUGGCCCUUACGUCCAGGGCUACACACGUGCUACAAUGGGGCAUACAAAGAGCAGCGAUACCGCGAGGUGGAGCAAAUCUCAAAAAUGCCUCCCAGUUCGGAUAGUAGUCUGCAACUCGACUACUUGAAGUUGGAAUCACUAGUAAUCGUAGAUCAGCAAUGCUACGGUGAAUACGUUCCCGGGCCUU